rnacentral:rRNA from 1 species
GACGAACGCUGGCGGCGUGCUUAACACAUGCAAGUCGAACGGUAAGGCCCUUCGGGGUACACGAGUGGCGAACGGGUGAGUAACACGUGGGUGAUCUGCCCUGCACUUCGGGAUAAGCCUGGGAAACUGGGUCUAAUACCGGAUAGGACUCCUGGCUUCAUGGUUGGGGGUGGAAAGCUUUUGCGGUGUGGGAUGGGACCGCGGCCUAUCAGCUUGUUGGUGGGGUAAUGGCCUACCAAGGCGACGACGGGUAGCCGGCCUGAGAGGGUGGCCGUUAACAGUGGGACUCAGAGACGGCCCAGACUCCUACGGGCGGCAGCGGUGGGGAAUAGUGCACAAUGGGCGCAAGGCUGAUGCAGCGCCGCCGCGUGAGGGAUGCCGGACUUCGGGUUGUAAACCUCUUUCAGCCAUGACGAAGCGCAAGUGACGGUAGGAGCAGAAGAAGGACCGGCCAACUACGUGCCAGCCGCCGCGGUAAGAC